UAUCACCAUUUCUUGUGAGAUCUUGUUUUAUUCAUUGGAUCUCCAGUGUUUGAAUGCUGAAAAAUGUUUCAUUCCCUUUCCAGCAUAUGGAGGAAUUUCAGAGCAGAGUUGUUGUGCACAAACCUAUUUCUCCAGUGGCACAUGCUCAGAGGCAAUCAAAUCACUCUCGCCAUCGGGUUGUCUUUCCUUUACAAGCCUGAACAGAGCCCAACCCAAGGACAGACGGACAGGCACGUAAACACGCUCUGAUUUUU